GACAGGCUUCCUAGGGCUGGGUUCUUAAAGGCACAGGCAUCCCAACGCGGAGACAGGGCAGCUCCCCUGUAUCUGAUAUACUCACUGAUAGACUUGAUUCAGUGAAAUAUUUUACAUAUUUCACCCCCAAAAACAAUGUGUCAAAAAGUCUCAUAGCAAUUCACAAAUUUGUUUUAUCUGCUGCGGUAAUUCCCUGAAGUGCACUCCUUUCCUUGUAAUCCAUUUUAAAUAUAGUUUUGCUCCUUUCAAUUGUGUACUUUUAAAAAUGUUAUUUUUAUUACUCUUUUGACUCUUUAGCACUUCAUUUACCUUUGUGCAUAUGUAUGUCAUUAUGCUAUUUAAUUUAUAUUUUAAUAGCAAAUACUCAUCGAAAAUAUUUAUAAGUAAAUAGUUGCUAGAAGUUUUAGCAAUGACAUCUGAGUUUCUAGUAUAGCACUUGCUGUAUAUAUGCCUCCCAUUGAUAUCCGCAUGAGCUGUUCAUAUGUUCUGGAGGAGAUUUAUGAUCAAAUACCUGUCAAAGUGAAAUGAAAAAUCCUAAUUUGGCUGAAAAUAUCCAUUUAAAAACAGUUAAAAGAUUUAGAAAGAUACCGUGGAGAAGGGAUAAUUAAGAAUGUGCCUUGUAUGUAUCUUCCUGAAUUCUGAGCCAAGUGGAACAAAGCAUUACAAUCCUACAAGCUGUUAGAAACAACUGACCAGGAAUCCAGAACAUUCCAAACUAAUUGUGUUUAUCCAGCCAGAACAGGGAGGAAUGCUCCUACAUUCAGUGGUGGAGAUAGCAUUGCUUACUACCCUCAUAAAUAUAAUCACUGAAGCAAGGUCUGGAAUAAAGAUGCUAAAGAAUUAUACACCAAUGCCCAACAUAAGAGGAAAGUUGUAUACAUAUAAAUCAUAUGCAGCUGUCACCUAAGUUCAUUUUAAAAUUAAAGAAUUUGAGAUCUUUAAUAUUUUAAGUGUGCUGUAUAUAGAGAAUGUAAAUGUGUAGUUUAAUUUCAUGUACUUCUGUUUGUAGCAGAAAUAAUGACUAAGCAUAA